rnacentral:rRNA from 1 species
UACAGAGGGGGCUAGCGUUGUUCGGAAUUACUGGGCGUAAAGGGCGCGUAGGUGGCCUGUUAAGUCGAACGUGAAAUCCCCGGGCUCAACCCGGGAACUGCGUCCGAGACUGGCAGGCUCGAAUCCGGGAGAGGGAUGUGGAAUUCCAGGUGUAGCGGUGAAAUGCGUAGAGAUGUGGAGGAAUACCGAUGGCGAAGGCAGCCCCCUGGGAUAACACUGACGCUCAUGCACGAAAGCGUGGGGAGCAAACAGG